CAAGACCAGCCUGGCCAACAUGGCAAAACCCUGUCUCUACUGAAAAUACAAAAAUUAGCUGGGCAUGGUGGUGGGCACUUGUAUUCCCAGCUACUUGAGAAGCUUGAACCCGGGAGGCAGAGGUUGCAGUGAGCCGAGAUUGCACCAAUGCACUCCAGCCUGGGAGACAGCCAGACUAUCUCAAAAACAAACAAAACAAAAAAUGUUGUACAACCGUCACCACCAUCUAUUUCCAGAACAUUUUCAUUAUCCCAAACAGAACUAAUAUACCCAUUGAGCAAUAAUUUCCUUCUUUUUCCAGCCCUUGGCAACCACUAACCUGCUUUCUGUCCCUCUGGAUUCACCUGUUCUGGAUAUUUCAUAUAAAUGGAAUCAUACAAUAUGUGACCCUUUGUAUCUGG
rnacentral:lncRNA from 1 species